UACGUAGGGGGCGAGCGUUGUCCGGAAUCAUUGGGCGUAAAGCGCGUGUAGGCGGCCGACCAAGUCCGGUGUGAAAGCCCGGGGCUCAACCCCGAGUCUGCACUGGAAACUGGCCGGCUUGAGUCCGGAAGAGGAGACUGGAAUUCCUGGUGUAGCGGUGAAAUGCGCAGAUAUCAGGAAGAACACCGGUGGCGAAGGCGGGUCUCUGGGACGGUACUGACGCUGAGACGCGAAAGCGUGGGGAGCAAACAGG
rnacentral:rRNA from 1 species